rnacentral:tRNA from 2 species
UGCGGGGUGGAGCAGUUCGGUAGCUCGCUGGGCUCAUAACCCAGAGGUCGCAGGUUCAAAUCCUGCCCCCGCUACCA